CAUACCGCGUGGGUGAAGAAGGCCUUCGGGUUGUAAAGCCCUUUUGUUGGGAAAGAAAUCCAGCUGGCUAAUACCCGGUUGGGAUGACGGUACCCAAAGAAUAAGCACCGGCUAACUUCGUGCCAGCAGCCGCGGUAAUACGAAGGGUGCAAGCGUUACUCGGAAUUACUGGGCGUAAAGCGUGCGUAGGUGGUUAUUUAAGUCCGUUGUGAAAGCCCUGGGCUCAACCUGGGAACUGCAGUGGAUACUGGAUGACUAGAAUGUGGUAGAGGGUAGCGGAAUUCCUGGUGUAGCAGUGAAAUGCGUAGAGAUCAGGAGGAACAUCCAUGGCGAAGGCAGCUACCUGGACCAACAUUGACACUGAGGCACGAAAGCGUGGGGAGCAAACAGGAUUAGAUACCCUGGUAGUCCACGCCCUAAACGAUGCGAACUGGAUGUUGGGUGCAAUUUGGCACGCAGUAUCGAAGCUAACGCGUUAAGUUCGCCGCCUGGGGAGUACGGUCGCAAGACUGAAACUCAAAGGAAUUGACGGGGGCCCGCACAAGCGGUGGAGUAUGUGGUUUAAUUCGAUGC
rnacentral:rRNA from 1 species